GAUUUGCUGGAAGGGAACAACAGGCAAGCUCUCAUUUAAGCAGAUGGAAGCAACAGCAACAAUGAUCCGCUGUGCUGUACGCAAAAACCAUGUGGCAAAGCAAGCAACAGAUGUCGACAUUGACAAACAUAUCAUGAAGUGGUUCCAUUUGGGCUCAGACAACACCCGCAGGGGAAGUCGCCAGAGUCGAGCACAGGCUCCGAACAUAGAGGCUGAGGAUGACUGAGGAUAG